GCGAUCGUACAAGGGGGAAGCCAAGGGGAAACCCUAAGUCUAAAGAAUCUCACAAAUCUUACAAAUUGAAGGGAUUAAAAGCUGAAUUCUUGAUUCAGGAGUUAGGAAUUAGGAUCUCCUAACUAUAUUUGAUCUCAAGAACAAAGAAAGAGGAAGGAGCAAGUUACUCCAAGUCGUAAGGGACACAAGACCACGGUAAAUCCCGCUCUUGGCGAUGCGAGCUCGGACCGAACACACUACAUAGCCCUUUAUGCGCUUCCAGUUAAAGUCGUCUUUUGUAAAUGGGUCAAAACGUUUUCAUAAUGUAAAUGUUAAAUUUAUGUCUAGGAUGUUUCCUAAGUAAGUUAGGAUUUUAAA